rnacentral:rRNA from 1 species
CCGAUAACCGUUUGAGAGAAGGGAUGACACAGUAGGAUAAGCUAAGCACACUGUUGGUUAUGUGUGCCCAAGCAUUGAGGCAGUCAAAGUAGGUAAAUCCGCUUUGAUAAUGCUGGGAUGUGAUGGGGAGCGAAAUUUAGUAGCGAAGUAGCUGAUUUCACACUGUCAAGAAAAGUCUCUAUCGAGGUUAAAGGUACCCGUACCGCAAACCGACACAGGUGGGUGAGGAGAGUAUCCUAAGGCCAGCGAGAUAACUGUUGUUAAGGAACUCGGCAAAAUGACCCCGUAACUUAGGGAUAAGGGGUGCCACCAUCAGGGGGCCGCAGAGAAUAGGCCCAAGCGACUGUUUACCAAAAACAUAGGUUUCUGCUAAGUCGCAAGACGAUGUAUAGGAGCUGACGCCUGC